rnacentral:rRNA from 1 species
UUUUAUGGAGAGUUUGAUCCUGGCUCAGGAUGAACGCUGGCGGCGUGCUUAACACAUGCAAGUCGAACGAUGAUGCUGGUGCUUGCACUGGUGGAUUAGUGGCGAACGGGUGCGUAACACGUGAGUAACCUGACCAUGACUUCGGGAU